rnacentral:siRNA from 1 species
UGAAAGAUAUUUGAGGAGCUAUC